ACUACGGGUGGCUGCAGUGAGGAAUAUUGGUCAAUGGGCGAGAGCCUGAACCAGCCAAGUCGCGUGAGGGAAGACGGUCCGACGGAGUGUAAACCUCUGUUGUCAGGGAGCAAGGAGCGCCACGAGUGGGGCGGCGAGAGUACCUGAAGAAAAAGCAUCGGCUAACUCCGUGCCAGCAGCCGCGGUAAUACGGAGGAUGCGAGCGUGAUGCGGAUUUAUUGGGGUUAAAGGGGGCGCAGGCGGGAGCGGCAAGUCCGCGGUAAACUUGCGGGGCUCAACCUCGCCCGGCCGUUGAAACUGCUCUUCUAGAGUGUGCGCGCAGUAUGCGGAAUGCGUGGUGUAGCGGU
rnacentral:rRNA from 1 species